rnacentral:rRNA from 1 species
UACAGAGGUCCCGAGCGUUGUUCGGAUUCAUUGGGCGUAAAGGGUGCGUAGGCGGCUUCCUAAGUUUGAUGUGAAAUCCUGGGGCUCAACCCUGGAACUGCAUUGAAUACUGGGAGGCUAGAGUACUGGAGAGGAAACUGGAAUUUACGGUGUAGCAGUGAAAUGCGUAGAUAUCGUGAGGAACACCAGAGGCGAAGGCGGUUACCUGGACAGUUACUGACGCUCAGGCACGAAAGCAUGGGGAGCAAAAGGG